rnacentral:misc_RNA from 1 species
AGCAGCCGCGGUAAUUCCAGCUCCAAUAGCGUAUAUUAAAGUUGUUGCAGUUAAAAGCUCGUAGUUGAAUUUCGGGAUUGACGUGAUAGUCAUGCCUUAAGGGGUAUGAACUGUCGCUGUUGAUUUCUCACCUUCCGGAGAAACUUGAUGUCCUUAAUUGGGUGUCUUGCGGAUCCAGGACCUUUACCUUGAAAAAUUAGAGUGUUUAAAGCAGGCAUUUUGCUCGAAUACAUUAGCAUGGAAUAAUAGAAUAGGACGGCAUGGUUCUAUUUUGUUGGUUUCUAGGAUCACCGUAAUGAUUAAUAGGGAUAGUUGGGGGCAUUAGUAUUCAAUUGUCAGAGGUGAAAUUCUUGGAUUUAUUGAAGACUAACUACUGCGAAAGCAUUUGCCAAGGAUUGUUUCAUUAAUCAAGAACGAAAGUUAGGGGAUCGAAGACGAUCAGAUACCGUCGUAGUCUUAACCAUAAACUAUGCCGACUAGGAAUCAGACGAUGUUAAUUUUUAAUGUACUCGUU